AUACGGAGGAUCCGAGCGUUAUCCGGAUUUAUUGGGUUUAAAGGGUGCGCAGGCGGCCAUUUAAGUCAGCGGUUAAAUCGUGGGGCUCAACCCCAUUCUGCCGUUGAUACUGGGUGGCUUGAUUGCGGUCGAGGUUGGCGGAAUUCGUUGUGUAGCGGUGAAAUGCAUAGAUAUGACGAAGAACACCGAGUGCGUAGGCAGCUGACCAGACCGCAAAUGACGCUCAUGCACGAAAGUGCGGGGAUCGAACAGGAUUAGAUACCCUGGUAGUCCGCACAGUAAACGAUGAAUACUUGUUUUCGGCGAUAUAAUGUCGGAGGCAAAGCGAAAGCGAUAAGUAUUCCACCUGGGGAGUACGCCGGCAACGGUGAAACUCAAAGGAAUUGACGGGG
rnacentral:rRNA from 1 species